GACGUACCGUGCGAACGUUGUUCGGAAUCACUGGGCUUAAAGGGCGCGUAGGCGGGCUGCCAGGUCUGGGGUGAAAUCCCACGGCUCAACCGUGGAACUGCCUCGGAUACUGGCGGCCUCGAGGGAGGUAGGGGCGUGCGGAACUGUGGGUGGAGCGGUGAAAUGCGUUGAUAUCCACAGGAACUCCGGUGGCGAAGGCGGCACGCUGGACCGUUUCUGACGCUGAGGCGCGAAAGCCAGGGGAGCAAACGGG
rnacentral:rRNA from 1 species